AGUGAACGCUGGCGGUAGGCCUAACACAUGCAAGUCGAACGGCAGCACAGUAAGAGCUUGCUCUUACGGGUGGCGAGUGGCGGACGGGUGAGGAAUACAUCGGAAUCUACUUUUUCGUGGGGGAUAACGUAGGGAAACUUACGCUAAUACCGCAUACGACCUACGGGUGAAAGCAGGGGAUCUUCGGACCUUGCGCGAUUGAAUGAGCCGAUGUCGGAUUAGCUAGUUGGCGGGGUAAAGGCCCACCAAGGCGACGAUCCGUAGCUGGUCUGAGAGGAUGAUCAGCCAGACUGGAACUGAGACACGGUCCAGACUCCUACGGGAGGCAGCGGUGGGGAAUAUUGGACAAUGGGCGCAAGCCUGAUCCAGCCAUACCGCGGGGGUGAAGAAGGCCUUCGGGUUGUAAAGUCCUUUUGUUGGGAAAGAAAAGCAGCAGGUUAAUACCCCGCUGUUCUGACGGUACCCAAAGAAUAAGCACCGGCUAACUUCGUG
rnacentral:rRNA from 1 species